UCUCUUCUCUAUAUCACCCUGAAUGCUCCUAAUCUCCUCUUAUCUCAGAAGCUAAGCAAGGUUGGGCCUGGUUAGUACUUGGAUGGGAGAAAGUGAUUUAAACAAGGAUCUAGGAAAAGCAAAGGA
rnacentral:rRNA from 1 species